AGAGUUUGAUCCUGGCUCAGAACGAACGCUGGCGGCAGGCUUAACACAUGCAAGUCGAGCGCUCUCUUCGGAGGGAGCGGCGGACGGGUGAGUAACGCGUGGGAACAUACCCGACACUAAGGAAUAGCCUCUGGAAACGGAGAGUAAUACCUUAUACGCCCUACGGGGGAAAGAUUUAUCGGUGACGGAUUGGCCCGCGUUAGAUUAGGUAGUUGGUGGGGUAACGGCCCACCAAGCCGACGAUCUAUAGCUGGUUUGAGAGGAUGAUCAGCCACACUGGGACUGAGACACGGCCCAGACUCCUACGGGAGGCAGCAGUGGGGAAUCUUAGACAAUGGGGGAAACCCUGAUCUAGCCAUGCCGCGUGUGUGAUGAAGGCCCUAGGGUCGUAAAGCACUUUCGCCAGGGAUGAUAAUGACAGUACCUGGGUAAAGAAACCCCGGCUAACUCCGUGCCAGCAGCCGCGG
rnacentral:rRNA from 1 species